rnacentral:tRNA from 1 species
GGGGCUGUGGCUCAGUGGAAGAGCCUCUGCUCGGCAUGUGGGAGGUCCUGGGUUCAAUCCCCAGCAUCUCUU